GCUCCAAUAGCGUAUAUUAAAGUUGUUGCAGUUAAAAAGUUCGUAGUCAACCUGUUCUGCCUGGUGGUUUGGCGUCUAUGGCGCCUGGAUCACCGAUGGUAGAGAGCAUGUUCGCACCACUUGCGCGUUCUGUGUGGAGAUGUGUGCUACACUUUACUUUGAGUUAAUCGGCGUGCUUCACGCGGCUAAUGCCUUGAACG
rnacentral:rRNA from 1 species